GAGACAUGCUGCCUCUUGGAGCUCUUCCAAAUAAUAACUGACAGCUUCCAAAUAAUAAUUUUAAAAACCUUUCGCGAAAAAUCAUGAAGUGGUUCGUCUGCUCUUUGAUUAUUUUAAAUCUUGGCCCGUUCUGCGUCCUGUCAGAAGUGCAGCUCAUCCAGCCGGGAUCCAAAGUGGUGAAGCCUGGAGAGACCCUCAACCUGACGUGCACAGUCUCCUUUUCUGUUGACAGUGUUGGCAUUGAUGAUUAUGCUUUGACCUGGAUCCGGCAGCCUCCUGGGAAAGGCCUGGAAUGGAUGGGGGUGAUAGCUCCAGGACUUGACAUUAUAGCUUACGCUCCUGCAUUCCAGCACCGUAUAAGCAUCUCAACCAGUUCUUCCACCAGUGAGAUCCACCUUCAGCUCAACUCAAUGACAGUUGCAGACACCGCCACGUAUUACUGUGCUGGAGACACAGUGAGGAGAGUAAGGCAGAGACUCCUACAAAAAAAGGAAAGGGGAAGUGGUAUACUACCAGUGUCUUUUAUAAGCUAUAUAUACAUAAUCCUGGGCAUAACUGAACUUCCCUCUUUUCUGGUCCCUUGUUAUUGUCAUGGAUUCACUCUACCAUUCCUUGCACACCUCCUGAAUUCUAGGUGAAUUUCUAAAAUUAAUUCCAGAACUGA